CCAUCCUCUCUGUUUCCUUUUAAAACUACUCUGGUUAAGAAACUAUAGUCAAGACAUGAACAGGCUUUAUAAACUGUGAAUGAGAUCAGCUCACUUCAUACACUUAAAAUUACAAGUAAAUCCUUUUAAAGGUUGAAGUACUCAAGCACUUUCCAAUCUUCUUGGUAUGUCAAGAGAGGACCCUAAGGAAUUUGAAAGAAAUCCGUGCAGUCCCCACCCAUAAAUGAAAGACGACUGUAUGGAAAUGGUCCACCAAGAAAUCUCCCUUAUGCAAAAGUUGGUGCCUCUUUGUGAAUAUCGUCCAGAAGACUUCAGAUUGUCUUGACAUGCAGCGUAUACCCACGGGGUCAGAAGAAUUGCCCUUUGAUUACAUGUACAGUAAUCUGGAUCU